rnacentral:tRNA from 3 species
GCCGGCGUAGCUCAGCAGGUAGAGCAGACGAUUCGUAAUCGUCAGGUCAUCGGUUCGAAUCCGAUCGCCGGCUCCA